CAAGUUCAAAAAAAUGGCGCUGCCAACUUCAGAACUUUUUAAGUGCUCAUGAGCUUAUAGAGUUGCGGGCUUUUUACUCUGUUUACUUUUCAAAUGUUUACGUUUGUCGAAUGUUUUUUUAUUUUAUUUUAUUUUUUUAUUAUUUUGCUUCUAAAGUGGUCACAGCGAAUUGCCCAAUUGCUAUUGUGCUAUAAAUGUCAAAAUUAAACUUGUUAUUGAAAUGUUUUUGUAUGACAAACAGUUGCAUCUAGAAAAGAAACUCAAUUUGGGUUUAUAUUUAGAGAGUAGGAUUACAUUUAUUAUAUAAUUUAAAGAAUUGUUUGAAUAUAUUGAUAAACAAAAAUAAGUUUAACAAGUAAAUUUAAAUUCCAAAAAUAGUUUUUCUUUGCCAAUGGAAAAUCUGUUUAAAAAUUAAAAUGUUGCAAUGGAACUGGGAGUAAGGAUGUUUUCAAUCCAUAAAAUCCUGCACUGCAAUGCACGUCCUGAAGUUGAUUUUAUGAGAAAAUUGAUUAGUGUUUUAAAGGACUUUUAAGGUUAUCCUGAUAUAGUAUCCUUAAACAAUUGUGAAUGGAACGACUUGUUGCUGAUUUGCUGUAUUCCUUCGAGUACCAAUAAAAAAAAAAAGUUUUUAUAAACAUUGAAUGACUUCAUUAUAAUGACUGUUGACUGUUCCAUUGAAUAACUGACUAGAUGCAGCAUAGCGCUAUGCAAUGCGCUUUGAAACGUCAGCUAUGCCGACAUCUUGCCAAUUCAACAAUAGAUGCGAUAAACCGAAAUAUUUAUAAAUAUAGAUGAUAUAUAUAUUUGAAACACAAAUUAAACAACUUCAAACAA